AGUAAGGUGCCUGAUAAAAGGGACAUUUUGAUGUAAUGUAAUAUAGCUAAUUUAGCUCCUUACUA
rnacentral:tRNA from 1 species